GAUGAACGCUGGCGGCGUGCCUAAUACAUGCGAGUCGAGCGAACGGACGAGAAGCUUGCUUCUCUGAUGUUAGCGGCGGACGGGUGAGUAACACGUGGAUAACCUACCUAAAGACUGGGAUAACUUCGGGAAACCGGAGCUAAUACCGGAUAAUAUUUUGAACCGCCUGGUUCAAAAGUGAAAGACGGUCUUGCUGUCACUUAUAGAUUGAUCCGCGCUGCAUUAGCUAGUUGGUAAGGUAACGGCUUACCAAGGCAACGAUGCAUAGCCGACCUGAGAGGGUGAUCGGCCACACUGGAACUGAGACACGGUCCAGACUCCUACGGGAGGCAGCAGUAGGGAAUCUUCCGCAAUGGGCGAAAGCCUGACGGAGCAACGCCGCGUGAGUGAUGAAGGUCUUCGGAUCGUAAAACUCUGUUAUUAGGGAAGAACAUAUGUGUAAGUAACUGUGCACAUCUUGACGGUACCUAAUCAGAAAGCCACGGCUAACUACGUG
rnacentral:rRNA from 1 species